UGCAGUUUGGGCAGCAGGUCUUUCACCCAAUCAUAGCGGAUGGGGCACACCGUUCUAACGUAGAUUCGUGAAGUGACCAAAACAUCAUGGAAGAUGAUCCAGUCUAGCAUCUCCUCUUGGUCGAAGAGCUGGGACACAAGAUGACGCAGGAUGAAUGUGGACCAUGGAUCCAUGACCAUCCAUGGUGCAGAAUACCUUCCCAACAGAUCUAGGACGAGGGAAAUAUUUGAGAAAGUUUCACAGAGGAAUAUGAUAUGAAUCCGGGUCAUAAAAAACAACAAGUUCAUAUGUGAAUCCACGUUGGGAUACACUUAAGAAUACCUGUUGGAGUCGAAGCAGGAUCUCCCUGAGCUGGGUCUCUAUGCUGAAGGACGACUUGAGCGCCCUCCAGUGGAUCCAGUUAUCUUUGCACCAGGCUGAGGGGUUGUCACUGCAACACAUGAUGACAUGACAAA